UUAAGCAAAAUUAGUUAAAACUUUCAACAACGGAUCUCUUGGUUCCGGCAUCGAUGAAGAACGCAGCGAAAUGCGAUAAUUAAUGUGAAUUGCAGAAUUCAGUGAAUCAUCGAGUCUUUGAACGCACAUUGCGCCCCCUGGUAUUCCGGGGGGCAU
rnacentral:rRNA from 1 species